rnacentral:rRNA from 1 species
UGCGUAGGCGGCUCGUUAAGUCAGGGGUGAAAGGCUGUAGCUCAACUACAGAAUUGCCUUUGAUACUGACAGGCUUGAAAUAAAUUGAGGUUGGCGGAAUGUGACAUGUAGCGGUGAAAUGCAUAGAUAUGUUAUAGAACACCAAUUGCGAAGGCAGCUGACUAGAUUUUAUUUGACGCUGAGGCACGAAAGCGUGGGGAGCGAACAGGAUUAGAUACCCUGGUAGUCC